rnacentral:rRNA from 1 species
UACGUAGGGCGCAAGCGUUGUCCGGAAUUAUUGGGCGUAAAGAGCUCGUAGGCGGUUUGUCGCGUCUGCUGUGAAAACCUAAGGCUCAACCUUGGGCUUGCAGUGGGUACGGGCAGACUAGAGUGCGGUAGGGGGUGACUGGAAUUCCUGGUGUAGCGGUGGAAUGCGCAGAUAUCAGGAGGAACACCGAUGGCGAAGGCAGG